rnacentral:rRNA from 1 species
AUUGAACGCUGGCGGCAGGCCUAACACAUGCAAGUCGAGCGAGCGGCGGACGGGUGAGUAAUGUCUGGGAAACUGCCUGAUGGAGGGGGAUAACUACUGGAAACGGUAGCUAAUACCGCAUACCAUCAGAUGUGCCCAGAUGGGAUUAGCUAGUAGGUGAGGUAACGGCUCACCUAGGCGACGAUCCCUAGCUGGUCUGCGAGGAUGACCAGCCACACUGGAACUGAGACACGGUCCAGACUCCUACGGGAGGCAGCAGUGGGGAAUAUUGCACAAUGGGCGCAAGCCUGAUGCAGCCAUGCCGCGUGUAUGAAGAAGGCCUUCGGGUUGUAAAGUACUUUCAGCAGGGAGGCGUUACCCGCAGAAGAAGCACCGGCUAACUCCGUGCCAGCAGCCGCGGUAAUUC